GGCCGCCACACGACGCUGCCGCAGCCAUGGUUUUUGAAGACGAGAGCAGCGACGAGAACUCAAGCCUCCCGUACAUGCACUCCGAAACCUCCACCGAUGGGCUCAAUCAGGUGCCUUUCUCUCUUCAGGACCCGGAUUACAAUGGUCUUGAGCUAGAUCUGAUAGUGUUGUGAGAGAAGCAUGGGAAGCCAUCAGAGAGGCUUGUUGCAUUUGAAGGAACAAUGACUGGGAGAAGGUUCUUAGCAUGUGCAGAGCCGGAAGGUCAGAAUUGUGGGUUUGUUCAGUGGGUUGAUGAGCAGUGGCCCCCAACAAUGGAGAAUGCAUU